rnacentral:rRNA from 1 species
CCUACGGGUGACAGCAGUGAGGAAUAUUGGUCAAUGGACGCGAGCCUGAACCAGCCAUGCCGCGUGAGGGAAGACGGUACAACGUGUCGUAAACCGCUUUUGUCAGGGAACAAAGGCAGGGACUAGUACCCGGCUGAGGGUACCGUAAGAAAAAGCAUCGGCUAACUCCGUGCCAGCAGCCGCGGUAAUACGGAGGAUUCAAGCGUUAUCCGGAUUUAUUGGGUUUAAAGGGUGCGCAGGCGUCCGGUAAAGUCAGGGGUAAAAUCCCGGGGCUCAACCCCGGCUAGCCGUUGAAACUGGGGGGCUGGAGAUGGGGAGCAGUAGGCGGAAUGCGCGGUGUAGCGGUGAAAUGCUUAGAGAUCGCACAGAACACCGAUUGCGAAGGCAGCUUACCG